CUGCUGGAAUUCAAGGAGUGUGCUAUAGAAGUACAUGUCGAUUUUGUUAGAAAGGCAGUCCGUGCUAUUGAUCGCUGUGUAAUCAAGUUGGAGAGAGCAGCAGAGCGAUGCAUCAGUGUUUUGCUGGAGCUGAUUAAGAUUAAAGUCAAUUAUAUGGUUCAAGAAGCCAUUAUAGUUAUUAAGGACAUAUUCAGAAGAUAUCCUAACACCUAUGAGUCCAUUAUUGCUACCCUAUGUGAGAGCUUAGACACUCUUGAUGAGCCAUAGGCCAAGGCAUUAAUGAUUUGGAUUAUUGGCGAAUAUGCAGAAAGAAUUGACAAUGCUGAUGAGCUGCUGGAGAGCUUUCUGAGA